UCCCUCUUAGCUCAGCUGGUUAGAGCAUCUGACUGUUAAUCAGAGGGUCUCAGGUUCAAGUCCUGAAGAGGGAG
rnacentral:tRNA from 1 species